rnacentral:rRNA from 1 species
UACGUAGGGGGCAAGCGUUGUCCGGAUUUAUUGGGCGUAAAGAGCUCGUAGGCGGUUUGUCGCGUCGACUGUGAAAACCUACAGCUUAACUGUGGGCUUGCAGUCGAUACGGGCAGACUUGAGUUCGGUAGGGGAGACUGGAAUUCCUGGUGUAGCGGUGAAAUGCGUAGAUAUCGUUUGGAACGCCAAUGGUGAAAACAGGUUGCUGGGAGUGUGCUGACGCUGAGACACGAAAGCCAGGGGAGCAAACGGG